rnacentral:rRNA from 1 species
UACGGAGUGGGCUAGCGUUGUUCGGAAUUACUGGGCGUAAAGCGCGCGUAGGCGGCUUUGUAAGUUAGAGGUGAAAGCCCGGAGCUCAACUCCGGAAUUGCCUUUAAGACUGCAUCGCUAGAAUCAUGGAGAGGUGAGUGGAAUUCCGAGUGUAGAGGUGAAAUUCGUAGAUAUUCGGAAGAACACCAGUGGCGAAGGCGACUCACUGGACAUGUAUUGACGCUGAGGUGCGAAAGCGUGGGGAGCAAACAGG